UCGUUUCAAUUUACAGAAUGAGCAGAUUCAAAAAUGAGAUACUAGAGAGUUUCAAGUAUAUUUUCUUGAAUUGAAAAAUAUUUGCAGCUUUUUCUUGACAGGAUAGGGGAUCUUGAAAAAGGAAAGCCGAGUUGUAGGGGAGGUCAGAAAAGGGUAUUAUUAUAUAUUGAGUAGGUUUUUAGCUUUAAAGUUGUAUUUUUUUGGGCUAUGGUUUGUCUCAACCAUAAAUACUUAUUGGUUUUAUUUGUUGUUUAAGUUUGGCUCCUAUCUGGUAGUAAUGUGGACAUACAGAUACGCUUUUGUGUUCCUAGUGGUUUUAUGGGGGAAAGUUUCAGGGUUG
rnacentral:lncRNA from 1 species